GCGGGAAUAGCUCAAUGGCCAGAGCAUCAGCCUUCCAAGCUGAGGGUUGCGAGUUCGAGUCUCGUUUCCCGCUCCA
rnacentral:tRNA from 1 species